AGCGAACGCUGGCGGCAGGCUUAACACAUGCAAGUCGAGCGCCCCGCAAGGGGAGCGGCAGACGGGUGAGUAACGCGUGGGAAUCUACCCAUCUCUACGGAAUAACGCAUGGAAACGUGUGCUAAUACCGUAUACGUCCUUCGGGAGAAAGAUUUAUCGGAGAUGGAUGAGCCCGCGUUGGAUUAGCUAGUUGGUGGGGUAAUGGCCUACCAAGGCGACGAUCCAUAGCUGGUCUGAGAGGAUGAUCAGCCACACUGGGACUGAGACACGGCCCAGAGUCCUACGGGAGGAAGCAGUGGGGAAUAUUGGACAAUGGGCGCAAGCCUGAUCCAGCCAUGCCGCGUGAGUGAUGAAGGCCCUAGGGUUGUAAAGCUCUUUCACCGGUGAAGAUAAUGACGGUAACCGGAGAAGAAGCCCCGGCUAACUUCGUGCCAGCCGCCGCCGUAAGAC
rnacentral:rRNA from 1 species